rnacentral:lncRNA from 1 species
CCGUGCAAAAUGCCAUUUCCUUUUCGGUUCAGGCUCCUCUGAUAGCGCUGAAUCUUGAAUUUUUGUAGCAUCCUGUGGGAAAGGGAAAACAAUCUGCAGAACACAAAUCCUCCUGGCACGUCUUGCUUGUUGCUAGAUGCAACUUCUAAACCACCUCUCCUUGGUUUUCCUCCUCGCCUGAGCUGUACGUUCGCUAUGGUGAUGACUCCGAGAUGCACCCUGUCACUAAUCUAGUCGCUGGUGGCUGCUGUGAUUAGCCACUGGCUCCAUCAAAUUACUCUUGGACAAUGUCAUCAGUGUAGUCUCACCUCUGAGUGGAACAAACCUUUUUUUCCCCUUUUUUUUUUUUCCUCUUUAAUCGGGAUUAAGCAGUCAGAUCUGAUGACACUUCACACAAGUAGAGCUGUUUGAAAACACACUGUCCUUUCAAUCACGGUAAGUGACAGGGUGCGCAGCGUGUGCUCCGCCAAUGCCACGGCCGCCUUUGAUGCCUGCUCUGACACGCUUUCAGGUAAAUGGUUCAGAGAGGAAUUCUUGAAAGUAGCAAACUAAUUUUGCCAAAUGGUUAGCUCUACGCAGUGCUUUCUUUCCUCUUACUUUUUUCUUUUUGAAGGAAAGCAUAACAAGGAUUAAGUUGGGGGAGAGUCGGGUAGCCGUUUCCUAGGAUGAAUCCUUUAUUUUUUUUUUUUUAUUUUUUUUUUCGGGGACAGGUUUAAAUUCCGGUAUAUUUAGAGCAAAGCAGUGGGUGUGAAGGAAAUAUGUCUAAGCUUCCUGCUCCCAUCUCUGUGCCCGGUUUCUCUCUCACGGAUAUUGCAGAGCCUUUAGAUAGAGGCUUGAGUGGGAGUUUGGGAUUUUUCAGCAUGUGGGAGAGAGCUAGUGGCAAAAGAAACCCGCGGAGUUGGCUAAACCAUGACUGCCAGUCACUCCUUCCUUCUCUCCUGCUGUCCCCUGUGUGAUGGGGUAGGGGAGAUGAGCCUUACGGACUGCAUACUGGGGAGGAAAGGGCAGGCAGUGCUCAGCUGUGGCAGGGGUUUCCCUUCGUCCAUGAAGCUUGCCCUGAGCUGCAGCCAGCGGGGAAAUGGAGAGGAAGAAUGUUACUGGAAAAUGUUCUUAAUCAUAGCAGAAAUUUUCAGUUAUUCUUGAGAGAGAACGUGUUGUUACUUACUGUCUGCCACCAUCGUUAUGCCACCGACUCAGUUAUACAGCGUGCCAUCUAAAUAGCUGCUGUCCCUAAGGAAAUAUUUUUUAUCACAAUAUAUCUUUGGUUUUGGUAAGUUAGUUCAUUGCUUGUUUCUAAGAUGAGCACCUCAUUAUUUUAGGAGCUGUAUGCAUACAUAAUUAGGGCCAGAGUCUUGCUCUGAAAAGCUUAUGCCUUCGAAAGAGGAGAAAGAAAGGAAAAUGUUACUUCAUUUUGUUAACAGGAAAUAGAUGCAAUGAAGUGAGGUCAAAUAAAUUUGCCAAAGAAGGUCA